UACGUAGGGUGCAAGCGUUAAUCGGAAUUACUGGGCGUAAAGCGUGCGCAGGCGGUUGUGCAAGACCGAUGUGAAAUCCCCGGGCUUAACCUGGGAAUGGCAUUGGUGACUGCACGGCUAGAGUGUGUCAGAGGGGGGUAGAAUUCCACGUGUAGCAGUGAAAUGCGUAGAGAUGUGGAGGAAUACCGAUGGCGAAGGCAGCCCCCCUGGGAUAACACUGACGCUCAUGCACGAAAGCGUGGGGAGCAAACAGG
rnacentral:rRNA from 1 species